CAGAUUCCUGAAUCUUGAACGUAUUAAAUUCACAGAAGCACCUACAAAUGGCUAUUCCCUCCCUACACGCUACUAUCACCUUGUUCUCCAGAUUACAAGAAAAUAACACUGAUGUUUUGCCAUGUGCCCUGAUGACCUUCAGCAUCUCAUAAGAUUGGGCUGAAGCAAUCAAGUUUUCUGAAAAGGGCAGGCAGGCAAAGGCCUAACAUUGUUCAUUUUUCUGUCUCUACUAUGAUGAGCAGCAAAGUCAUACGAAUAAUUGGCGGCACUGGCAGGGAGGUAUUGGUGAAGCCAGCCAUGUGUCAUACUCAGCAAAGGUAAUACGUUAAGAUUUAAACAAAGUAUUUACAGGAAACUAGGUGAUUUGAUUCAGCAGCUACAGGUAAGUCUUUUUUUCUUUUUUUCCCUUUCCUUUUAACACCACAAAAAAAAAAAAAGUGUAAGAAAAUUGUUGUUCCUUUGGUGUAUAAUGAAAAUAGAAGAGAAGAUGAAGGAGAGGGAGACAGAGAGUGAGAAGACGACGACUUUCCCCAAAGGCCAGACUUGUCAACAAAGAUAAAAGUGAUGAAAGAUGAGAGAGUCAUGGGGCAGACUUGUUUAUGAAAAAAUAUGUAAUACAGAUUUCUCAUUUCUCUCUCUGUGACAUGCUGCCUCCUCCAUGAAAUUAUUUCUAGAUUUACUUCCCAUGUUCCUGGUCUACCAUUUACAGAUAAAGAUUACAUUUCCCAGUUUUUAUCAUCAUGGCUGCAUAGGUUUUUGUCUCCCACAGAACACAUAUCUUCCCAGAGUUCAGUAGCUCUUUAUAACCUGCCAGGAUUCUAAUAUAAUGUGCAUUCAAUACAUUUACAGUUUAUUUUAGAAUGGCCAGGGUACUCCUGGACUACUCUUCCACCUUCUAAUAUGCUUUUGGUUCUCGGCCAGGUGGAGUUCCCCAUGGUGUAAUUCUUUCCUCCUGGGGGAUAGAGGAGUAGGAUGGGUAUAUGUUACAGCCACGGAAGGUGCUAACAGAUUUCUAUUUCAUUCCUAAGUCCUUUUUGCCCUGGGUACUGAAGGGGAAAUUCUCAUUGUAAGUGCUCAGCCGUGGUAAUUUGUGACUGAGGAAUGAUCUGGCACGGAGGGCACGGAGGCCCAGCUGCAAGAAGGGGUUAAACUGGCUGGAAGCAGGGAUGCCAGAGACAGAAGGAUUCCUUGCAAGGGAGUGAAGUUUCCCUGGGUGACCAGAAACAGCCUCAGCACUGUCCUGUAGCCGUCCCGGACCAGGAGCGCUCAGGGGCCCAAGCUCAGGGGCCACCUUUGGGCAGCAGAGCUGGGCUGGGGGAUGGACCCAGGGCUGGGCUGGGGGUGCCCCUGCUCUCGGGAUGGGUGCUGGUGCAAGUGGAUAUAAGGAAUCUGCUUGCGAUGCAUCUUUGCAGACUCUGUCCAGAACUGCUCAUUGCAGUAGCACUCUGCCCAACACAUGGUCAUUAAAUUUUUCUGUUAUAUUUAAGCAUAAAUUUGUGUUUAAUUCACCUCGAGGAGUACCAUAAAAAUUCCCUAAUAAUAUGUUAUGACUAAUUGCUUUGAUUCUUAGCAACAUUAGUAACUGUACUGUUGUCCUGGAUAGGACCAAAGAGGUGCUGGAAAUGUGGAAAGCUUUCAGUUAUGUUGAAGUUGAGCUGAUGGCUCAACAGCUAAGAAGAAAAAUCUGAGAUACUCACUGUUUUAUUUGGGACAGGGACACACAGACCGGGAGCUGAAGAGUUGUUGGAAGUAGUUAAACUUACCCUUGAACUUGAAGUCACCAUGGGUAAGUGGAGAGGAAGGAAACAGGGUCCUACAGUAUCCAGUCCUAUGGUACCUACAGUGAGAGCUGGGAGAGGGCCACUGAGAGGAGAGACAAGUGAGGGUACAACAGCAAAAAAGUUAUCAGUGUGUACUUUUAAAGACAGCUGUGAGGUUACAGAGGACAAAGCUGUUUUCUGGGCUUGGUGUGGAUGAGAUCAGCAGAGUCACUGAGGGUUUUUUAAGAUGCGACAGACUAAUAUAUACUUCUGUCAUGCAAACAAACUACCGGAGGGCAAUGAGAGGAGAAAGUAGGGAAUAAUUAGGGGAUUAAAGAGGAUAUGAGGAAGAUUGUGGAAGAGUGGACUGGUGUAGGGUGAAGGGAGUAGGAGAGAAAGUAGGAAAUAAACAUCAGCAUCUGUGAGUGAAAGGGAGACUCAUACCUGGUGAUAAGAAUUUUGUUUGCUGCAAGAAACAAGACUUUCAAUCUGAUGCACAAAGCAUUCAAAUCUGAUGCACAAAUCUGAAUACUCAACAGGGGACUCCUUUCUCUUACCAUUGCUCUUCCUUACCUCAGUUUAGGUCUGGACCCUUAGACAAUGUCUCACGAUUUACUAAGUGUGUUUUUUCUCCCACUGCUAAUAACAAUACCGUGUGAGGUUGUGUGAUGAGCUGCAGCACUUUGUAUCCUUGGACCUCAGCUCCUAGGUAAUGUCUUUGUCAAGUAUCUCAAUUAUUUUGAAAGAAAUCACUCUCUUUUCUGUCAGCGGGUGCUUUUGUUCCCUGCUGUGCAACCCUGCGCAGCAGAUCUAUGUCCUGGUAAGAAGCCACGUAGAGAAAUUCCUUUUCAAUUGCAAUAGUAUUCUCUUCUGAUCUAGCAGAUACAAUACUGUUCUUAAUGAUUUAUUAAGUGUGGUCUCUAAUAAUUUGUGAUCUACCAUUGCAGCUCUGUGAAAUUAAUACAAGUGGCAUUUUUCUUGUGGUAUAAAUUCAAUCACUAAUACCUUUUCUACCUGCAGAGCUCUGGCCAGCAGAAGUCAGAGAGCUCGUUACAGGCGCUCUGAAGGACUUUGCUGUGAUAGAUACCUUUUGUUUGCAUUGUGUCAUGUCUGAGCUUGAAUCAUUAUUGUCAGUAGCUCAAGGCCUAGGAGAUUGCUAGUUUUAAACAUUUUAAUGUUAUUUUGCAGUAACUGUCCUCUAAAAGCAUUCAGCAUCUGUACACAGCGAUGCACAGCGAGUAGAAAAUGUCAUAAUUCCCAGUAAGCACUAAAAUACUUUUUUCACUUACAAAGGAAGAGCACUGGUAUUGCAGUCAUGCUUUUUUUUUUUUUUUUUUGAUCCAAACUGCAAAAUCUUCAUGUAUCCCAUGUUUGCAACCUUGCCGCUUUGUACUAUAUUCUGCUUUGCUGCAUUUGAUGGUCAGAUCUCUUUCGUUCCUCAGCGUAGCACGCCUGGUACUGCUAGCAGGCAGCAAUCUGCCAGGAGCUCCUGGGCACCACAAGGGGCUCAGCCGUGCCUGGGGAUGGGAUGCCCCGGGACGCUCCUUGCCCAAAGGGCAUCCAUCAUCUCCCACCUUAGCACCAUCACUGGACAACCUGAGGAGGAAGGUGGUUAAUAGCAGGAUGGGUGAAGGUUUUAGAUGGCACUCAGCACACCAUGAAAUGCAUUCCUCUCAAGGAAUGGAGAAUUGCACCUCACCAUGACCGGCAUGUUUAAUCACUGCCUGGAAGACUGGAAUGUCACAGCCUGACUGAAUUGCAAAUACGGGUUUACCAAACCAAUAUAUAUUUUGCAUACCCCAAAGGUAGCACCAGGCAUGCUGUUGCAGUUCACUGAAUUAGCAUUAUUCAUGUGUGUAGCACUCCUUACCGCGAGGAUCUACUUUUCCUUUAGUUUCGCGAUGGCAUUUUCCUACUCUGUAUCUUUGUACGGCAGGUUCAGUCUCCACCAGCAUUCAUGCUGAGCACUGACUCUCUCCUCCCUAACAAUCAGUUUGCUUUUCAGGAGCACACGGAUUGCUGUUAGCUUUGCUCUCCACGUGGACUCCCGCUGUUCUGCCCCUAAGGCAGCUUUAUGCUGGGAUACCUUUUCAAAUCCGGAGGACAGCACCAGACUUCUGUGGCAGUGCCUGUUUCGGUAACCCCUCCUAUCUCCUGCUAUUACAGUUCUCUUUGUUUCUGUCUCCAUCACAGCACGGGCAAAUGGCUUGUUUGUACCCAUUUAUUUUUGUUCUCCUGAUGUUUACUCCUCCUCACUGCAGUUCCCAGUGAGGAUUGCUGGUAGGGAAUAAACUCACGGCUUUCCUUUCUCUGCUGCAAACCUUGCGCUUGAGCUGAAGAAAUAAAACCAGUGGUGAAGUGUUAUACACCCAUGUGAACCGCUAGUGGAGGAGCAUAGAAAUCUUUCUUGCUUUGCCAUGAACGUACGUCCUCCACAGCUGGGACGGCUCCUGCCUUUUCGGAGAGGCAAAAGGUCUCACACCUGCAACGAGAAGUGCCUUUCUCUGUGCAAUGGGACAGCCGUGGUGGUUACCCACGCUGCUGUGUCAUCUGCAUGUGUUGCUGCUGGCCGUGAAGCUCCAGUAAUUGCUUCAGCUUUAUGCACCUCGUGGUCUUACGGCCCACUCAGCGCAUACUCCUUACCAUAACCCCAAAAGGUUCCUCCAAACAGAGUUAAAUGAAUACGGGAGCAAAGUGACCCUGCAAACGGUCGGUGCUACUUGAGAAAAUCGCAUACCCAAAUGUUAGGAAAAAGUGCCAAUAUUUAAAACUGCUCACAUCAGAAAUCCUCCUGUUAAAGAUGAAACAGACAUAAAUUGGCCUAGUGGUUUUAUAGUAGCAAAUUGCAACAAUAAAAAAAAUCAUUAGAAACUUAUUGGAUAUGUCUAGGGCCACUGGUGGGCGAUUGCUUGUCUUAUUAACCACAUUAAUAUCCUUUAUGUAGCAAAUUUCAAUUUCAGCGAUUGUAAUUCAUGCACGGCGUACAAAGAAGAUGAUUAAACACCGAAAGCAAAGCGUGGUUAUUCGGAACUGCUUCGCCGCAUUUCCCACUGUGGUGGCGGUGGGACUCGUGCUGGACAGAAGGACGGAAGGAUCCCUCGGUCUCCCAGCCCUGCUGCCCCAGGAGCCUCGUCUGAAGCAGCACAGCCUCAGCAAAUGACAGGA